AAAGAGGCGGGUGGUAGGUUAUCGCCCGCCCCAGAGCCGGGCCGGGGAGUAGUGGAGCGGGUGCAGAAGAGAAACGGCGCUCAGGAACGGGGAGGAAGCAAAAUGGCGGCUGCGGGUGUUGGCGUCGCCGCCGUGAAACUCCUGGCGGGUUCCGAAAUGAGGGUAACGGUGGAUCACGUCGUCGACGAUGCGUUGGUCGUGUCUCUGCGCAUCGAGGAGAAGAUCUUCUCAGGGGUUCUAAUGGAUAUUUCUAGAAGGUUUGGGCCCUAUGGAAUUCCUGUGACUGUGCUUCCAAAAAGGGAAUACAAGGAUGAAGCUGACUUAAUGCAACUUCAAUGUGAAUCAUUCCAGCAACAGAUCCAGCAAAAUUCAAAAUCUACAGAUAGUUGUGAAGCAGCAUCUUUGAUACCCUCUGCACAACCUAGUGUGGCUGAAAGUCUGUGGACUGCAAAACCUGCACCGUUAUUUUACGAAGGAGCACCUUAUCCUCCUCCAUUGUUUAUCAGACAUACGUAUAACCAGUCUAUACCUCAACCUCCUCCAAGAAGGAUUAAGCGACCUAAAAAGAAAAUGUUCAGAGAGGAGUCCACUUCCAUAAUGAACUCUAUUAAACUCAGACCAAGACAAGUUCUGUGUGACCGAUGCAAAAGUAGUAUUUCAGCGGAUAAAAAGGAGUUGAGAAGGGGUGGCAGCACAAAUGACACUUCUCGAAAUGAGGAUAAGAAACGAAAAAAUGACAGUAUGCCUGCAAUGUCAAAGAGACUAAAAACUGACCACAAAAUGGAAGCGAAAACUCAGUAUGAUGGUCAGAAGCGAAAUACUGUCAUUAAAAUUUCAAAUCUAUCUACAGGCAAGGGCAAAAUGGUCAAAAUUUCUUCGCAAGUACAUAGUUCUAAAAUGCAGAUGAAUCCCAAGAAAGUGCUACAGAACAAGAAUGUAGAUCACAUGAAAGCCAGGGAAGUGUUGAAAAUGGCCAAAGAGAAAGUUCAAAAGAAACAGCAACAGGAAGUUUCAUCUGCUGGUGAUACCAUUCCAAAAGUUCAUUUUACACGGCGCUUUCAAAACACCAAUUCUGGUGCUCUCCCUCCACGGAUUCGCUUAAAGCCACAGAGAUACAGGAAUGAAGAAAAUGAUUCUGCUUACAAGGCUAAACUUGAGAGAUUACGUAGCUGCAAGACAGCCUCCAAAGCGCCGCCUCGCUGCACCUCUUCCCGCUCAGCAGGUGAGCAGCCUUCUGAAAAAGAUAGUCCCACAAAAGGGUUGGAACAGUCCACUGAUGAGAAUAAAGACACCAGGGAACUAAAAUGGCCUUGUGAGCAGGAUGAAAAACAAUUGGGGAAAAGGGGCAGAGGAGGCAAUAUAACCGUUUAUAUGACCUACAGUCAAAAUAAAUCUGACUCUUCUGCCUUUUCAGUUUGUAGUAGUGAUAGCGCAGAUGAUAUAAAAUCCUCCAACUCAGAAUGUAGUUCUACUGAAACAUUUGACUUUCCUCCAGGCAGCAUGCAUGUACCUUGCUCCUCCUCCUCAAAAGAAGAAAAGCUCACUAAUUCUUUGAAAGUGAAAGUCUUUACCAAAAAUGUCUCUAAAUGUGUGACUCCAGAUGGCAAGACCAUAUGUAUAGGGGACAUUGUUUGGGCCAAGAUUUACGGCUUCCCCUGGUGGCCUGCCCGCAUACUUACUAUAACUGUAAGCCGGAAAGAUAAUGGCUUUUUAGUAAGACAGGAGGCCAGAAUUUCAUGGUUUGGGUCCCCAACAACAUCUUUCCUGGCUCUUUCACAAGUCUCCCCGUUUUUAGAAAACUUCCAGUCACGGUUUAACAAGAAGAGAAAGGGCCUUUACCGUAAGGCCAUCACAGAGGCAGCCAAGGCUGCAAAGCAGCUGACACCUGAGGUGCGGGCCCUGCUGACACAGUUUGAAACAUGAAAACAUCAAAGAAGAUCUCAAAUGUGCCGUGAAACAACUACCUUUCUGAAUUUUUUGUACAAAACAUGACUUUCAAACCCGACGACACUAAGGCUCUGGCUGCUGUUUCCUAAGAUGUCCACUACACUGCCAUUUAUUGGGCUGCAAC